rnacentral:misc_RNA from 1 species
AAACAAGGGAAACGAGAACCUCCACGGCGGUGAUCAGGAGAAGAUCCACGGCACCGAUUGGUUAAAGGAGGAGAACAAGCAUAAAGAGGAGGACAAGCAUACAGAGGAGGCCAAGAGUAAGGAGCAGAAAAAACACGAAGACGGUAGCAUAAUAGAGAAGAUCAAGAAGAAGAUCCACGGCAAUAAGAAGGUUGGUGAAGACGAGAAGAAAAAAGAGGAGGGUGAGGCAUUGACCAACUAAUUCGUCCUGAGACGAAUGGAGACGCGGUAUGCUGCUUGAUUUCCGUUUUGGACCUUGUACUCUUCAUGUGAGACGUGCCUGAAUAUUAGUAAUAAAAAAGGUUCUUAUUUAU